rnacentral:lncRNA from 1 species
GUGGUCACGGGCAGAGCGGAGAGACCGAGAAGGGACAUACCUAUGGAUCUGUGAGGAGAUAUAAGAGGGGCUAGAGUUGUUCAGUGCUUUAUAGGUGUGAGUUAGUGCCUUGAAUUGACUCCUAUAGCACACAGGAAGCCAAUGUAAGGAUUGGCAGAGGGGUGAGGUGUGAGAGAACUGACUAGAGAGGAAAAUCAGUCUAGCAGCAGCGUUCAUUACAGACUGUAG